CUCUAUCAUGCGCGCAAACGGCCGGUGGCCGGUUAUGGGCGGCCCGAGUCCCUGCGGAUCAUCAAGCAGCGUUUCGCUUAUGCCUUCGAAGGGAAGGACGGCUAUCCGGCCGUGGUGGAGGCCAAUUUCCUGCCCGAUC
rnacentral:misc_RNA from 1 species